GGGUGUGGAGGGAAGGUGGCGGGCCGGGAGGAGCUGGCGCUGGGCGCUGGGCGGGCUGGGAGCGCAGGGCUUGAGCUGAGGCGGUGGCGGCGGAGGGCAGAGAAGAUGAGCAGAGCCGGCGGCCCAGGAAGCAGGAGGCUCCCCCGGAGCAGUGACGGGGCGUCUCCCGCGUCUCCCCGGGCCCGGGGCCAGCUUCUCUGCCAGCGCCCCGCUGCGCGGCGUCCAUGCGCCCCCACCGGCUCCUCCUCUCACCCUGGGAGCGCGCGAGGGCACGCGGUUCUGCGGCCGUCCGAGUGCGCCGCGCCCCAGGCUCAGCACCCGAGAGCUGUGCGCACGGCGCCUGUGCACUGCCCCGUGUUAGGAGCUCAGCCGGUAACGACAUGCCAACUACGUUCAUUCAGAAUCCGUAAGAAACCCACCACGUGCCCACGUCCGCGCGAACGGGAACUGUCGCCCAGAGCAGUGAUAGGACAGUGGCGUGGUUGGGCAUGGUUGCGACCUGGGUGCCGGGUCCUGGCUGGAGCGGCCGACUGUCCCGUCUGCCCGACCCCACAGCCGGGACAGAAAUGCUCUGCAGCUCCUCCAGAUGCCUGCGGCUUGUCUGUGGUGACGCUUGUCUGUGGCUCCCCGCGAGCUGCGACCAGGAAUCUGACCUCUUGGUGAACGCCUCCCACGCUCCGACCCACGGAAAUCUGCCCCAUCCUUGGGGUCUCCGGCCUGGCGAGGGUGUCUCAGUGUCCGCAUCGGUCGUUGGGAAAACAAUGGUUCAUUCUUUUAUCUGGAACGUCCAUAUAUUGAUGUUUCAUUUCAUAAUUUAAAUCCUUUUCGUGGGCGGGAGGUUGGGGGAGCCUGGAGGUGGGUAUUACAGAGGGCACGUAUUGCGUGGGGCACUGGGUGUGGUGCAUAAACAACGAAUUCUGUCACACUGAAAAGAAAUUAAAUUGAAAAAAAAUAAAUCAUUUUCUCAUCAGAAAAGUCUUUAAGCAUGACAGCUGCCAAGAGAUAGAAAGCUUCCGAAAUGGUCAUUUUCUCUCAAAUGUGUAGGUGUUACGGGCAAGAAGUCCUGCUCAUUCUCCUGGAAGGGACAGGCUCACUUAGGUCUUUCCUGACAAAUGUCUGCAGGUGCACAGGCCUGCGUCUCCGUGGCACGUGCCCUCCUCGGAGACGACCUGCGCGCCCUGGUGAUGCGCCCCGCCGCCUCCCAUGUCUUCACGCGGAGCACGACAGAGGUCGGCACCCAGGGUUGAGGUUCAGUACCACUCAGGACGUCCUUAGGCUGCAUCUGAUUUCCAUGAGUGCGUGGUGGGGAGGUGCCAGGGCCCUGGGGCAGCGAGCUGGCGGGCCCGUGUGGAGAUGCCGAGCCCCCGGCAGCUCCUGCACCAUCAGCACGUGCCCUCAUGGUGAGGGGUCUCCCUCGUGGCCGCCGUGGAGGGAAGCGUGCAGACCGUUCGUGUUACAGCAUCGCGGGGCGGGUUCUGUGAGGGGGCAGACACAGCCGCCACCAAGGUCACCAGAGCCACAGGGACAGCAGCUGCACCUCACCUCACACUCAGUGGAGGGGCAGGCGGCGGGAUCCGGGCUCGGACUGUCCCUAACCCAGCCUCUUUUUGGCCUAUUCAGAACACUUGCGUUCCCGAGGUGAACAUGCAGGUUUCAGUCCCCUGUGGCUCCAGGACUGCCCUCCUUACACACUCUCAUUUCCGAGGUCGCUAUGUCACUCUCUGGCGUCCGGGCCUGCUCCCAGCAGAGGGAAGGGGACCGGUAUCUAAAGCUAGAGGGGCCGAGUGAUUCCACGUCCUCCCGAAGGACCCGAGACUGGUGGAUCUUCACAGCUAAACAAGAGGCCCCGAGGGACAGAGAAGCGGAAGCCGAGGCCUUACAGUGGGAUUGACUCAGCUAGGAUCAGCACUCCUCACUCGGGGACCGAGCCAGGACACCCUGAUUGCCGGUGCAUCGCCUCAUUUAGACAUUGGGACCCAGAAAUAGAACACAAUCUACGAUACAGCCUUCUCCAGGCAUCUGGAUGCUAUUUAAAAAGAAAAAAAAAAA